rnacentral:rRNA from 1 species
AUACGGAGGGUCCGAGCGUUAUCCGGAAUCAUUGGGUUUAAAGGGUCCGCAGGCGGUCAAUUAAGUCAGAGGUGAAAGCCCAUCGCUCAACGAUGGAACUGCCUUUGAUACUGGUUGACUUGAGUUAUACGGAAGUAGAUAGAAUAAGUAGUGUAGCGGUGAAAUGCAUAGAUAUUACUUAGAAUACCGAUUGCGAAGGCAGUCUACUACGUAUAUACUGACGCUGAGGGACGAAAGCGUGGGGAGCGAACAGGAUUAGAUAACCCAGUAGUCC